rnacentral:rRNA from 1 species
UACGUAGGGGGCUAGCGUUGUCCGGAAUCAUUGGGCGUAAAGCGCGUGUAGGCGGCCCGGUAAGUCCGCUGUGAAAGUCGGGGGCUCAACCCUCGGAUGCCGGUGGAUACUGUCGGGCUCGAGUACGGAAGAGGCGAGUUGAAUUCCUGGUGUAGCGGUGAAAUGCGCAGAUAUCAGGAGGAACCCCAAUUGCGAAGGCAGCUCGCUGGGACGUCACUGACGCUGAGACGCGAAAGCGUGGGGAGCAAACAGG